UACGGAGGAUGCGAGCGUUAUCCGGAUUCAUUGGGUUUAAAGGGUGCGUAGGCGGACUAAUAAGUCAGUGGUGAAAUUUUGCAGCUUAACUGUAAACGUGCCGUUGAUACUGUUAGUCUUGAGUAUGGGUCAAGGUAGGCGGAAUGUGUAAUGUAGCGGUGAAAUGCUUAGAUAUUACACAGAACACCGAUUGCGAAGGCAGCUUACUGGGCCACCACUGACGCUGAUGC
rnacentral:rRNA from 1 species